rnacentral:lncRNA from 10 species
CAGAGGUUUGCACCAACCACACUACCAUCUCCCUUCUCUGCCUCUCUACCCAUCACGCAGCUGUGAGGACUGCAGCCCAGGGAGGUGAGUGGCAGUGCCCACGCCACUGCCUGGUCUUUUUCCUGGCUCAGCUUCUCCCACUCAUGCCUGGAGCCAUCUCACCCUCCACACACGCACCCUCAUCUCUGCCGCUCUCCCUCCGGAUCAGCUGAGAACGCUGAGUCAUCGAGUACCCCCCACCCCUCCGAGCCUGCAAUGUGUCAACAGCCAGCCCACCCGGGCUCAGCUCCCAGCCGCCUGAGUCAGCCCUGACUGAGCCUCUCCCCGGAUCCUGUCUCACCGGCCUUCCCCUCCAGCUCCAGGCCCUGCUCUUCAGGAUUCUCAUGAGGACAAAUUAGAGCACCUGUCACUAUAGCCAGCACUCAAGAAAUGGGAUUAUCAUCAGAGGGAAAAAUGCACA